rnacentral:rRNA from 1 species
UGGGGAAUUUUGGACAAUGGGGGCAACCCUGAUCCAGCCAUCCCGCGUGUGCGAUGAAGGCCUUCGGGUUGUAAAGCACUUUUGGCAGGGAAGAAACAGCCUGGGAUAAUACCCCGGGCGACUGACGGUACCUGCAGAAUAAGCACCGGCUAACUACGUGCCAGCAGCCGCGGUAAUACGUAGGGUGCAAGCGUUAAUCGGAAUUACUGGGCGUAAAGCGUGCGCAGGCGGUUCGGAAAGAAAGGUGUGAAUCCCAGGGCUUAACCUUGGAACUGCACUUUUAACUACCGAGCUAGAGUACGUCAGAGGGGGGUAGAAUUCCACGUGUAGCAGUGAAAUGCGUAGAGAUGUGGAGGAAUACCGAUGGCGAAGGCAGCCCCCUGGGAUGAUACUGACGCUCAUGCACGAAAGCGUGGGGAGCAAACAGGAUUAGAUACCCUGGUAGUCCACGCCCUAAACGAUGUCAACUAGCUGUUGGGGUUUUAUUAACCUUAGUAGCGCAGCUAACGCGUGAAGUUGACCGCCUGGGGAGUACGGUCGCAAGAUU